UACAGAGGGUGCAAGCGUUGUUCGGAAUUAUUGGGCAUAAAGGGCGCGUAGGCGGUGCUGUAAGUCUGUAGUGAAAUCUCUGGGCUCAACUCAGAGUCUGCUAUAGAAACUGCAGUGCUGGAGUGUGGGAGAGGUGAGUGGGAAUUCCCCGGGUGUAGCGGUGAAAUGCGUAGAUAUCGGGAGGAACACCUGUGGCGAAAGCGGCUCACUGGACCACAACUGA
rnacentral:rRNA from 1 species